rnacentral:rRNA from 1 species
AUACGAAGGGUGCAAGCGUUAAUCGGAAUUACUGGGCGUAAAGCGCGCGUAGGUGGUUUGGUAAGUCAGAUGUGAAAGCCCUAGGCUCAACCUGGGAAUUGCAUUUGAAACUGCCCGGCUAGAGUAUGGUAGAGGUAAGUGGAAUUCCAGGUGUAGCGGUGAAAUGCGUAGAUAUCUGGAGGAACAUCAGUGGCGAAGGCGACUUACUGGACCAAUACUGACACUGAGGUGCGAAAGCGUGGGGAGCAAACAGGAUUAGAAACCCCAGUAGUCC